rnacentral:rRNA from 1 species
GACGAACGCUGGCGGCGUGCCUAAUACAUGCAAGUCGAGCGAAGUUUUUCUGGUGCUUGCACUAGAAAAACUUAGCGGCGAACGGGUGAGUAACACGUAAAGAACCUGCCUCAUAGACUGGGACAACUAUUGGAAACGAUAGCUAAUACCGGAUAACAGUAUUUCUCGCAUGAGAGAUAUUUAAAAGUUGGUUAUGCUAACACUAUGAGAUGGCUUUGCGGUGCAUUAGCUAGUUGGUGGGGUAAAGGCCCACCAAGGCGACGAUGCAUAGCCGACCUGAGAGGGUGAUCGGCCACACUGGGACUGAGACACGGCCCAGACUCCUACGGGAGGCAGCAGUAGGGAAUCUUCCGCAAUGGGCGAAAGCCUGACGGAGCAACGCCGCGUGAGUGAAGAAGGAUUUCGGUUCGUAAAGCUCUGUUGUUAGGGAAGAAUGGAUAUGUAGUAACUAU